AUACGUAGGUGACAAGCGUUAUCCGGAUUUACUGGGCGUAAAGGGCGUGUAGGCGAUCUUGCAAGUCAGAAGUGAAAUUCCUGAGCUCAACUCGGGCGCUGCUUCUGAAACUGCAGGACUUGAGUGCUGGAGGGGAUAGCGGAAUUCCUAGUGGAGCGGUAAAAUGCGCAGAUAUUAGGAAGAACACCGGUGGCGAAGGCGGCUAUCUGGACAGUAACUGAGGCUGAGGCGCGAAAGCGUGGGGAGCAAACAGGAUUAGAUACCCUGGUAGUCCACGCUGUAAACGAUGAAUACUAGGUGUAGGGGGUAUCGACUCCCUCUGUGCCGCAGUUAACACAAUAAGUAUUCCGCCUGGGGAGUACGGCCGCAAGGUUGAAACUCAAAUGAAUUGGCGGGG
rnacentral:rRNA from 1 species